rnacentral:rRNA from 1 species
CCUACGGGUGGCAGCAGUGGGGGAUAUUGCACAAUGGGGGAACCCCUGAUGCAGCGACGCCGCGUGGGUGAAGACGCGCCUCGGCGCGUAAAGCCCUGUCAGCAGGGAAGAAAAUGACGGUACCUGAAGAAGAAGCCCCGGCUAACUACGUGCCAGCAGCCGCGGUAAUAAGUAGGGGGCAAGCGUUAUCCGGAUUUACUGGGGGUAAAGGGGGCGCAGACGGCGAUGCAAGACAUGAGUGAACGCCCGGGGCCCAACCCCGGGACUGCUCGUGGAACUGCGUGGCUAGAGUGCAGGAGGGGCAUGCGGAAUUCCUGGUGUAGCGGUGAAAUGCGUAGAUAUCAGGAGGAACACCGGUGGCGAAGGCGGCCUUCUGGACUGCAACUGACGUUGAGGCCCGAAAGCGUGGGGAGCAAACAGGAUUAGAUACCCGUGUAGUC